UACGUAGGAGGCGAGCGUUGUCCGGAGUUACUGGGCGUAAAGGGCAUGCAGGCGGUCGGACGCGUUUUGUGUGACAGCGGGUGGCUCAACUGCCCGAGCAUACGAAAGACGGUUUGACUUGAGGGCUCGAGAGGGACACGGAAUUCCGGGUGGAGUGGUGAAAUGCGUAGAGAUCCGGAGGAACACCGAAGGCGAAGGCAGUGUCCUGGCGAGUGACUGACGCUGAGGUGCGAAAGCCAGGGGAGCGAACGGG
rnacentral:rRNA from 1 species